rnacentral:rRNA from 1 species
CAGUCGCCACGGGAAUACGGAGGGUGCAAGCGUUAAUCGGAAUUACUGGGCGUAAAGCGCACGCAGGCGGUCUGACAAGUCAGAUGUGAAAUCCCCGGGCUUAACCUGGGAACUGCAUUUGAAACUGUCAGGCUGGAGUCUUGUAGAGGGGGGUAGAAUUCCAGGUGUAGCGGUGAAAUGCGUAGAGAUCUGGAGGAAUACCGGUGGCGAAGGCGGCCCCCUGGACAAAGACUGACGCUCAGGUGCGAAAGCGUGGGGAGCAAACAGGAUUAGAUACCCGAGUAGUCCCUGUCUCUUAUAC